UGCCAAUCUGACUAUCUAUGUUUACUAUGUCAUUUCGACGUUUACAGAUGCUUUUACUAUUAUUGUUCCGGAAAUAAAUUUUCAUUGUUUAUUUUUGCAAUGCCUGGACCAGGGAAGUUUCGUAGUAAAGCUGUGAAACAAAAGGCCGUAUCUGGAGACCAUAGUCCUGAGCAAUGUAGUCAUAAACUAAACGGUGAGUUUAUACACUUUAAGCCGGAUAAGGCUACAGAUGGUAAAGAAAAAGUAAUUGCAAUAGAACUUUUGGGUACUAGAGAACUGCUUGUACCUAAAAGAGAGCCCAUCGAUAGACCAGGAAUUUUGCCACUUUCGGAGUUUCAAAGACUAAAACAUCAAGCACACGUGAUAACCCUUGAAGAUAAAAUGCGUAUGAUUGAAGAAGGAGAAAGAGAAAAAAAUAAGCUUGUAAUGGAAAGUACGCUUAGAAAAGAACAACUUUUAAAAACGCAAAAGCACACCAACAAUAAACCUGGAAGCAAACUUGAAACUGUAGAAUCAGAAGCAGCUAAAAAGAAUCUAUAUUUGCUUAGAAGGUCUCAGGAAUUAAGGAUUGAACAGGACGAGAGAGUAAAAGAGGCAAAUGGCAUUAUUUUGGCAACUAAAUGCAGGGCUAUAAGAAAUGCCCAGAUUGCCGAAAAAAAGGUGAUAGAAAAAGAACUAAAAGAAGAAGAGCAAAGGUUAGACGCCAUGAUGGAGCAACAAAGGCAAAAGAAAAUCGUUGCUGAAGAAAAGAAGCGAGAGGCUGAUGAAAUGAAGAAACAAAAUUAUGUCAAAGAAGUCCUUCAGCAAAUAAAAGAAAAUGAAUUGGAUCGUCUUUUGGAAGCGGAACGUAUAGAAGAGGAAAGCAAAAUGCUGAAUAAGGCUUUAAUUGAACUUCAAAAAGAUGAAGAAAAACGACAGAAAGCUAAGAUUGAAAUGCAAAUAAAAAUGAGAGAGGAGUUCAAGAAAGCUAAUGAAGAAGCUUGUAGAUACCGAAGGCUUAAGGCUGAGGAACAACGAAUCGCAGAUUUGAGGGUAAAAGAAUUUAUGCGUCAAAAAGCUGAAAGAGAGGAAGCGCUAGAAAAAGAAAAAUCGUUAUUAAAAGCAGCAAAAGAAAAAGAAAUUGCUCGGCUAAGAGAGAUGCAAGAGAAGAGUCAAGAUCUGCAAGCUGCUCUGGAUGAAAUGAAUGCAGCUAGAUCCCAGGAAGAAAAAGAACGAGAAUGGCGAGAACAAGAAAAACAGGCUGCCUUGAAAAAGCAGAAAAUGAUGGAAGACUUACAUGUAGCUAGAGCGAAGCAAAUUACUGAUAUUAGAAUGACUCAAGCUAGAGCUUUAGCUAGAGAUGAAGAUGAUUUUAAAAAGGGUAAAAUAACCGGAAGAGUCACAUUUGGCAAAAUACUUUAGUCCUGUGUCCCCGGAGUGUGUUCCUUAACUACUUUGCCAAAGCACAGUUUUGCCAUAAUUAAUUGAUAAAGUUCCCGGUUUAGGGUUCCACCCUGUAUAGAGCCAUAACUAUUUGACAUGCGAGUCGAAAAGAUUUUUACAUUACAAUAUGGGAAGCACAGGAUUAGGUAGCCAAAGUUCAACAUGAACUUCAUUUGAAAGAUUUAGAAAAACAGGCAAAGAAAAGAGAAGAGAUUGCUAGGCAUCGAAAGGAACUGUUAAAGCAGAUCAAUGAAAAGGAAAGAGAGAGAAUAAAUUGGCAACAAGAACGAUAU
rnacentral:misc_RNA from 1 species